AGUAUUCUUUAUAUAAUAGACUUUUAUAUUUGAGUAUACUAAAAACAAGCAAAAAGACAACGAAGUACGAACAAAUAGGUCUAAGAUAACAUUUUUUAAAGAGUAUUCAAAACUGUUGUUGCUGAAUGACUUGUCGAUCUCCCAAGCAGGAUUUCAAGCUCUCGACUGUAAUUGCUUACGAGCCCGUUUAGAAACCAAAUCAUAAAGUAUUUAUACCCUUUUAUAAGAGUAUUAAAUACCCAACAUAUGCCGCAUGACAGCAGAAGCAUCAACAAGAGGAUCAAUAUGGAGCAGGCAGACUCAACAAGAAUUGGCAGCAACGUUAAUUUGUCAUGGCAGUGGUUGUGGUCAAUACACACACACCCACACACGCAGACACACACACUGGCACACACACUCUCGAUAUUACACAACAAGUGAUUUUCUUUUUGUGUGCCCAGUGCUCAAAUCAGAAAUCUGUAUGUAUGUGUGCUCGUACCUGUAAUCUGGACAACAAAUCCGAUUAAAUGCAAAUGCUGCAGAGGCCCCCAGCCACACUCUGUGCGUGUGUGUGUGUGAUGUGUGUGUGUAUGUGCCACACACCAGCGAGUGGCAUGCAGCUUAGUUGCGUAAGUUAUCAGCAACGGGAUUGAAGACCAAAGUGGCCAGCAGCAUCGGCAGCAUCGGCAGCGGUUGCACUGCAGCAUCUAAUUUGGAGACGACACCUAAGCAGCACAGCUUCAAGGCACUUUGCGGACUUGCAUUAGCAUCGAGCGAACGGGCCACUCAUAUGCUCAGCGGUCUACUCUGGGCCCAUAGAUAAACUGCAUGGCUUAGAACGCUGCCAAAAUAGUUGCCAUAAAAACUCAUUUCGGCCAUUAACUUGGACCGACGAGUAACAAGCAUCGAAUUGCCACUGAGGACGCGUUGAAAACGAAAAGCUGCUUCAACAAAAAGGAAUUAAAUGCCUUUGGCUAGCCGACGACUAAAUACCCUAUCACAAUAUUCUUAAUCUCGUCUUAAUUGUUUUUAUGGUAGACAUUUGAUAUUAUGGACCGAUUCGAUUGGGAUUGCGGAUAUCUGAGCAGCGUAUGUGCUCCUAUUUGGGAGAUUUGAUUAUUAGUAUUUUGAAGACAGAAAAGUUUAGCAUAAAAUACCCGAUUCUUCCUUUACAGCUGUUAAUA